UAGGGAAUAUUGGUCAAUGGGUGAGAGCCUGAACCAGCCAUGCCGCGUGCAGGAAGAAGGCCUUCUGGGUUGUAAACUGCUUUUGUCAGGGGAUAAAAUGACCAUGCGUGGUUAAUUGAAGGUACCUGGCGAAUAAGCCACGGCUAACUACGUGCCAGCAGCCGCGGUAAUACGUAGGUGGCAAGCGUUGUCCGGAUUUAUUGGGUUCAAAGGGUGCGUAGGCGGUCUAAUAAGUCAGUGCUGAAAUAUCCCGGCUUAACCGGGAGGGUGGCAUUGAUACUGUUGGACUUGAGUAGAGUUGAGGUUGGCGGAAUUGACGGUGUAGCGGUGAAAUGCUUAGAUAUCGUCAAGAACACCGAUAGUGAAGACAGCUAACUAAGCUCAAACUGACGCUGAGGCACGAAAGUGUGGGGAUCAAA
rnacentral:rRNA from 1 species